GACGAACGCUGGCGGCGUGCUUAACACAUGCAAGUCGAACGAGAAUCUGUGGAUAGAGGCUUCGGCCAAUUGAAGCGGAGGAAAGUGGCGGACGGGUGAGUAACGCGUGAGGAACCUGCCUUUCAGAGGGGGACAACAGUUGGAAACGACUGCUAAUACCGCAUAACGCAUAGGGGUCGCAUGAUCUUUAUGCCAAAGAUUUAUCGCUGAAAGAUGGCCUCGCGUCUGAUUAGCUAGUUGGUGAGGUAACGGCCCACCAAGGCGACGAUCAGUAGCCGGACUGAGAGGUUGACCGGCCACAUUGGGACUGAGAUACGGCCCAGACUCCUACGGGAGGCAGCAGUGGGGGAUAUUGCACAAUGGGCGAAAGCCUGAUGCAGCGACGCCGCGUGAGGGAAGACGGUUUUCGGAUUGUAAACCUCUGUCUUCGGGGACGAAAAUGACGGUACCCGAGGAGGAAGCCACGGCUAACUACGUGCCAGCAGCCG
rnacentral:rRNA from 1 species